AGUACCGGGAAAACAGGAGCGUGUGAUUGGGGUUUACAGUGUUUUCUCUCGCUCUCUCUGUUUCUAGGGAAUUCGGGCUGUGUUUAGCUGCUGGAAUAUCGUAGAAUUGGUUUUCAGAGAAGUUCCUCGACUCCUGAGGCGAAACAUAAAGGGAUGGGAGUGGUGUGGGAAGUGAUCGUGUGGGGAAAAAAAAGUUUCGAGCCCGUUUCGCAUUUGUGGAGACAGAGUUUUUGGUGUGACCACUCUUUUGUGGGAAACCCAAACCAAGGAGAACUCAGGAGAAUUGGCGCUCUUCGGUCCUGGAGGUUCCGCAGCUAACAUCCCGGCUUGACCAACUAUCGAGGCCGCAAAUUAAUAGGGCACCUCCUGGGAGGAAAACGCCCAUCCUGACUUCUCAACUGUGACAGUUUGCUCUGUCGCCCAGGAUGGAGUGCAGUGCAGUGGCGCGAUCCUGCAACCUCCGCCUCUCGAGUUCAAGCGAUUCUCCUGCCUCAGCCUCCCGAGUAGCUGGGAUUACAGACGCGCGCCACCCCACCCAGAUGAUCUUUUUAAAUGCAAAAUGCCAUCGACGCAGAAAAUCAAAGGUAUCCAUUGUAUCUGUGCGUUUGAGUUCUAGGAUAUGACAAAGAAAAACAAUUUAAAUAUUACGUAAAUUCAGUAGGAAAAAGAAAGAUGAUGACUGAUAAGUACAUUGUGUACCUCCUUAAGCUGUGCUGUCCAGUAGGCUGUCCUCUAGCCAUAUGUGGCUACUCAGCACUUGAAAUGUGGUUGAGACGGAAAAACUGAAUCGUUAAUUGAAUUUGAAUUAAACAAAAACCAAAAACCUGAUGCUCGAUUCAAUUGUUGGAAUACUUUUAAGUGUGUUUGCAACAACUCAGAUAUAUGAAUCUGUUUUUCCAACUUAAAUUUUAUGAACUCUAACUUUAGCAUAUGAAUUGAGAUGUGCUGUAAGUAUAUAUCAGCUGGACUUUUUUUUUAUUUCUGGACUUACUACAAGAAAUUUUCAAAAAGAAUAUUGAAGUGCACAUUAAAAAUUUUUAUAUAUGUUUAAAUGUUUUGGAUGUAAUGGGUUAAACAAAAUAUUACAAUAAAUUGUACCUGUUGCAUUAGAUAACACUGGCUUAAAGUAUUACAACACAGUAGGGCGUGGUGGCUCACGCCUGUAAUCCCAGCACUUUGGGAGGCCGAGGAGGGUGGAUCAUCUGAAGUCAGGAGUUCGAGACCAGCCUGGCCAACAUGGUGAAACUCCGUCUCUAUUAAAAAUACAAAAAUUAGGCAGGCAUGGUGACACAAGCCUGGGGUUCCAGCUACUUGGGAGGCUGAGGGAGGAGAAUUGCUUGAACCCAGGAGGCAGAGGUUGCAGUGACCUGAGAUUGCACCACUGCACUCCAGCCUGAGCAACAGAGCGAGACCCUGUCUCAAAAAAAAAAAAAAAUUACAACACAGAAUAAUUAUAUAUUUAUGGAUACAUGUUAUAUAUUUAUGGAUACAUUUUCUUAAGUGGUAAAAAUGAGAAUAUAUGGAUGGGAUGAUACAUCCCAACUUCAGGGUGAUGCUCAUCUCCAACGAAGGAGGCCAAGGAAUUUGUAUAUGGUGUCAGAGUAAACAUAAAAUAUAAAGAGAUGAAUUUCUAAAUUUAAUGGUUUUUUGGGGAAGCAAGAAUUGCAGUUCAGGACAUACACACAGACUGAGUGGUCUUUAGUAUGUCAGAAGAACAAAGAGAAGGUCGAGAGUUUUAUUAGAAAGAGAAAUGUUGCUACUGUUUUGAAAGAAGGUUCAUUGGCACUAUAGUAAAGUUUUGGGAAGCUGGCAAGCUCUGAUUGGUGAGUGAGAGUGGUAGAUAAAACCAGUCUUAGUCAUAGGAGAUUGUUUCAGCAACUACUCGGUAAAACUGGUCUUAGAGUUACUGCAGGCCGUUUCAGCAGCUGGGUUGUAAAAAACUUAAUUCUUAAUGCUAGAGCUGUGUGCCCUGAUUGCUUUCUCCCCUGGUCCCUCGAUUCUGAUUUAGUUGGGUAUGACAAGAAUGAUCCAGAUUGUAUGAUCAAUUUUCACACUGGGAAUGGCUUAAAGAUGGUUUCUUCUGAAUUUUAAAGUUUUUAUUUAUUAAAAAUAUCUGAAACAUGACAGUGGGAUGUUGAAUUUUCAUAUUUUUCUUUGUACAUUUAUGUGUUUUUAAAAUAGUUCAUGAAAUUCAUAUUGUUUGGUUCUUGUGCUUAAAAAAGCUUAUAUCUUCUGCAAAAUGUGACCAAAUCAUGUAAAUUCAGUAGGAAAAAGAAAGAUGCUUACUGAUAAGUACUUUGUGAAUCUCCUUAAGCUGUGCAUGUAUGUAUAUGUAUAGUUAUCAGUUUCAUAUGAAGCUUACUCAAGUAAAGAACUGUAGCUAUGGCUCCUUUACACACAAUACAAUGGUUGUAAAAAGAUCCUAUUAAACAGUCACUUGUUGCAUGCUAGAAUCUUUUUCUAGGCCCUGGAGGCACAAAAAUAAUUGAGAGGGUCCUAGCUAUUUGGGAGCUUCUUGUCUAGUAGGGCAGACAGGUAGCUUAACAAGCACAUAAUACAAACCUCAAUAACAAUAGAGAGAAAGUACAGGCAUAGCACAUAGGAGGAAAUGAUUCAUUUCUGGCAAGUUGAAAAGAUUGCUGGAGUAGGGGACAUGUUAAUUCUCACUGCCAGAUUUAAAGUGUAUCUUGAGUGAAUCUAUUUGUUUAGAUACAUUUUUACAACCAUGUUUUGUUACUUAUUUCUACAAAUCUUCAUAUUUAGGGCAGGUAUAAGAACUCUUUGAUUUGAGUGUAACUCACAGUCAAGGUUGGAAUCAGGUUUUAGGGGGGCUUCAAGAUUAUAUAAUCUGAAAGGUCUUUUUAAAGAAGUAUGUAAAAUUAUGAAUGCAAAAUUAAAAUUAGGUACAGGACUUCAUAAGGGUCUAUCCAAGUGAGGGACUCUGAAGUUUGAAUCCUUUAGCUUCACAGUAAAUCUACCUCAGAGUAGACUAGGUAAAAAAUAUAGAUCUAUGAAACCUUAAUUAUAGGGGGGUUGUUCAUAUCAACAAAAAUGCUCUUUGCUUUCUAAAAUGGUUCAAAAUAUGAUUCUUAAAAAAGUAUGUAUCCGUGCCUGUCUUCCCUAUAGGCUUUUAACAUGAUUGCAUUUUUCUGGCUUUACUUUAAAAUAAGCAACUAAAUAAUUUUAUUUAAUUUACAAAAACAUAUAAAUUGGCCAAUAAUCCCAACAUGACCACAGUAGAAAAUUCAAAUAAUACAAAAAGGUUCAUAUGAAAAACAAAAGCCUGUUUUACCUCAUCUCCUCAAAUCCCUGUCCCUUGAAGCAACCAGUGUUAACAGAUUAUUGUUUCCUUCUAGAAAAAAGUAUGCAUUUACUAGUAUAUACAUCUCUAUAUGUGAAUAAUUCUAUAUUUUACAGCAAAAGUUCAUUCCGUUUUACACCACCUUUCCUUUAUCUAGUUUUAAACUCAGCCAUCAUACAGAAAAUUGUAUAAAGCAUGAAUGUCCAGUUUAAGCAGUGCUGUGGUUUCAGUGUUUGUGUGUGUCCCCUCCCAAAUUCAUUGUGAAACUCAAUCCCCAAUGCAACAGUACUAAGAGGUGGGGCUUUUAGGAGGUGGUGAGGCCACCCUCAUGAAUGUGAUUAGCGCCUUAUGAAAGGGAUAGAGGGGGCGAGUUUACCCCUUCCAUCUCUUCCACCAUGUGAGGAUGCAGCAAGAGGCACCAUCUUGGAAGCACAGAGCAGCCUCCACCAGACACCAAGAUCAAAUCUUGAUCUUGAACUUCUCAGCCUCCAGAACCUUGAGAAAAUAAAUUUCUGGUUUUUAUAAAUUA